UGCAAAGGCAUUCCAUUUGAUGUGAGUGAAGCUGCGGCUGCUGCUACUAGAGUGACAAUCAAAACGAAAAGGCCCAUCACGUGGGUUGCGCAGUAAAGCAAGUUACGUUGGUCGAGUCUAUUCAUAGCUCUCGGGGGAUGGAAAUAUAGGGCAGUAGCGCCGUUAAUUUGUCUUACUUUUGUACUGUGUUCGUAUGUCUAGUGCCAACGUUUUGUGUCUCCUAUUUUUUUAAGUUAUUAUUAUUUAUUUUGUCACUUUGUAUUUAUUAGCAAGAAGAAUUUUGUUUAAUAGGGUCCUCAGAGCAUUUAUUACUUUAAUUACAUUUUAUGAUAAAUCAGUUACGCCACUGGUAAGAGAUAGACGCGCAUCUGAAGCUCCGCCCAUGUCACCUUUCGUUCUGCUUGGCACUCUAACGAUCUAUGACCGUGUAAAUCAAAAGAUCGGUAUGAAAGAGCAUUGCAAAUUUUCGAAGAUUGGCGUCGAGAAAAAAGUUGCUUCACUUACCGAAGAAGUAUUUCUUACGUAUUUUGCGGAAAAAGCAAGUUUGCAGAAACCCUCCAGUCUUUGGAACAUGUUAAACCAGUGGCGGCUCGUGAAGUCAUGUCCACGAAAAGAACACUCUUGCGUUGACAGAUAAAUUAUAUUCCAUCGAUUAGUCUUUUCAAAAUUGCCCAAUUUUCACCAACUUUCUCGUAAUAGUUCUCCCUUUUAUGAGCCGAAUCUAAAUGAUUGGCAAUGUUUUGUUUACCAAGUAUUUUUAAUUUAAUGGAAGAAAAUAUGUGGUCCUAUGAUAUUGCUAAUAUUUGAAGAUGAGGAAAACAUCAAAUUAACAUUUCCUACUGUGACCCAAAAACAAGAAUUUGCGGCGGAGCUAAAAAAUUUGUUAGGAUUGAGCAAUCGUUCCACACCAGACCCAGGACUGCCCCUACCAAUUGCUUAAUUUAAUAAGAAUAAUAAGUUAAAUUAUAAAUUUAAUAAUAAUUAAUAAAUUGCAUUCCCCAAC